AAAAUUUUAUUUUAAAAUUAUAAAAUUUUUUAUUUACAUUAAAAAGAUUAAGAUCAUCUUAAAAUUUUA
rnacentral:tRNA from 1 species